AUUUUUACCCAGUAAGGGAGACAUCAUAAUCAUAAAGGUGGUUUUCCCAGGUUGGGGCUCAAACAUGAUACUCAGGAUGUGCUGACCUCUGCAACAUCUCUGAAUGUGAGGAACUUGACUGCCUAAUGUGUGGUAGCAGGGACUGCAUUAGCACUUUCCCCU